AUGUCGUCGCUGGUGUCCGCUCCGUUCGCCACGGCCACCGGGGCGCGGAAGAAGGCGCGCGCGCCCGCGCCGCUGCACUCGUUCCUGCUCGCCGGCCGGCGGGGGCGGCGCGCGGCGAUACGGUGCGCCGUGGCCGGGAACGGGCUGUUCACGCAGACCAACCCAGACGUGCGCCGCGUGGUGCCGGCGGAGCGCGGCCUGCCGCGGGUCAGGGUGGUCUACGUCGUGCUGGAGGCGCAGUACCAGUCCUCGGUCACCGCGGCCGUGAUGCAGCUCAACGCCGACCCGCGCCGCGCCGCCGAGUUCGAGGUCGUCGGCUACCUGGUCGAGGAGCUGCGGGACGCGGACACGUACGCCGCCUUCUGCGACGACGUGGCCGCCGCCAACGUCUUCAUCGGCUCGCUCAUCUUCGUGGAGGAGCUGGCGCUCAAGGUGCGGGACGCCGUGGCGGCGCACCGGGACCGGAUGGACGCCGUGCUCGUCUUCCCGUCCAUGCCGGAGGUGAUGCGGCUCAACAAGCUCGGCUCCUUCAGCAUGGCGCAGCUGGGCCAGUCCAAGAGCCCCUUCUUCCAGCUCUUCAAGCGCAACAAGAAGGACUCGAGCGGCUUCGCCGACAGCAUGCUCAAGCUGGUGCGCACGCUGCCCAAGGUGCUCAAGUACCUGCCCUCCGACAAGGCGCAGGACGCGCGCCUCUACAUCCUCAGCCUCCAGUUCUGGCUCGGCGGCUCGCCCGACAACCUCCAGAACUUCCUCAAGAUGAUCGCCGUCUCCUACGUGCCGGCCCUCAAGGGCGCCGACAUCACGUACAGCGACCCCGUGCUCUUCCUCGACACCGGCAUCUGGCACCCGCUCGCGCCCGCCAUGUUCGACGACGUCAAGGAGUACCUCAACUGGUACGGCACCCGCCGCGACGCCAACGACAGGCUCAAGAACCCCGAGGCGCCCGUCAUCGGCCUCGUCCUCCAGCGGAGCCACAUUGUCACCGGGGACGACGGCCACUACGUCGCCGUGAUCAUGGAGCUCGAGGCCAGGGGCGCCAAGGUCAUCCCCAUCUUCGCCGGCGGGCUCGACUUCUCCGGCCCCAUCGAGCGCUACCUCGUCGACCCCAUCACCAAGAAGCCGUUCGUGAACGCCGUGGUGUCGCUCACCGGGUUCGCGCUCGUCGGCGGGCCGGCCAGGCAGGACCACCCCAAGGCCAUCGCCUCGCUGAUGAAGCUAGACGUGCCGUACAUCGUCGCGCUGCCGCUCGUGUUCCAGACCACGGAGGAGUGGCUCAACAGCACCUUGGGCCUUCACCCCAUCCAGGUGGCGCUGCAGGUUGCGCUCCCGGAGCUCGACGGCGGCAUGGAGCCCAUCGUGUUCGCCGGCCGGGACCCGAGAUCAGGGAAGUCGCAUGCAUUGCACAAGAGGGUGGAGCAGCUCUGCACUAGAGCGAUCAGAUGGGCAGAACUCAAGAGGAAAACUAAGAUGGACAAGAAACUAGCCAUCACCGUUUUCAGCUUCCCACCAGACAAGGGCAAUGUCGGCACUGCAGCAUACCUGAAUGUCUUCAGUUCCAUCUAUUCUGUCCUCAAGGAUCUCAAGAAGGAUGGCUACAAUGUCGAGGGUCUUCCAGAGACACCUGAAGAACUCAUUGAGGAGGUUAUUCAUGAUAAGGAGGCCCAGUUCAACAGCCCCAACCUCAAUGUUGUUUACCGCAUGAAUGUGCGGGAGUACCAAGCACUCACCCCCUACGCCAACAUGCUGGAGGAGAACUGGGGCAAGCCACCUGGGCAUCUCAACUCUGAUGGUGAGAACCUCCUUGUCUAUGGGAAGCAGUAUGGCAACAUCUUCAUCGGAGUGCAGCCCACUUUUGGCUAUGAAGGUGAUCCAAUGCGGCUUCUGUUCUCAAAGUCUGCCAGCCCUCACCAUGGGUUUGCGGCAUACUACACUUUUGUUGAGAAGAUCUUCAAGGCAGAUGCUGUUCUGCACUUCGGCACACACGGGUCCCUUGAGUUCAUGCCCGGGAAACAAGUUGGAAUGAGUGAUGCAUGCUUCCCUGAUAGUCUGAUUGGUAACAUCCCCAACAUCUACUACUAUGCAGCAAACAACCCUUCAGAGGCAACAGUGGCCAAGCGUCGAAGCUAUGCAAACACCAUAAGCUACCUGACACCACCAGCUGAGAAUGCCGGUCUGUACAAGGGGCUGAAGCAGCUGUCAGAGCUCAUCGCCUCUUACCAGUCACUCAAGGACACGGGCCGUGGCAACCAGAUUGUGAGCUCAAUCAUCAGCACUGCAAAACAGUGUAACCUGGACAAGGAUGUUGACUUGCCCGAUGAAGGCGAGGAGCUCCCAGCCAAUGAGCGUGACCUCGUCGUCGGGAAGGUGUAUGGAAAGCUCAUGGAGAUAGAGUCACGGCUACUGCCAUGUGGUCUGCAUGUGAUAGGUGAGCCACCAACUGCUGUCGAAGCUGUGGCCACAUUGGUGAACAUAGCUGCCCUUGACCGCCCAGAGGAGAACAUAUUCUCGCUGCCCGGCAUUCUUGCUGCGACGGUGGGCAGGACCAUUGAAGAUGUGUACAGGGGUAGCGACAAGGGCAUACUGGCUGAUGUUGAACUCCUGAAGCAGAUCACUGAAGCUUCACGAGGUGCCGUAGGUGCCUUUGUUGAGAAGACUACAAACAGCAAAGGGACCUUGUUUGGAUUCUUGGGAGAGUGCCUGAAGCUGAUUGUGGCAGACAAUGAGCUGGGAGCCUUGAAGACUGCCCUUGAGGGAAGCUAUGUUGAGCCUGGCCCUGGUGGUGAUCCCAUCCGUAACCCAAAGGUUCUCCCAACAGGGAAGAACAUCCAUGCUCUCGACCCGCAGUCUAUCCCGACUGCAGCUGCCAUGAAGAGUGCCAAGAUUGUUGUGGAACGUCUGCUGGAGCGGCAAAAGGCUGACAAUGGUGGCAAGUAUCCUGAGACAAUUGCACUUGUCUUGUGGGGCACCGACAACAUCAAGACCUACGGCGAGUCACUGGCCCAGGUGAUGUGGAUGCUUGGUGUGGAGCCGGUUACUGAUGGGCUUGGCCGUGUCAACCGUGUGGAGCCCGUCAGCAUUGAGGAGCUUGGACGCCCUAGGAUUGAUGUCGUCGUCAACUGCUCGGGUGUGUUCAGAGAUCUUUUCAUCAACCAGAUGAAUCUGCUGGACCGGGCAGUAAAGAUGGUUGCUGAACUGGAUGAGCCAAUUGAGAUGAACUAUGUGCGCAAGCAUGCCCAGGAGCAGGCAGAGGAGCUCGGUGUCUCGGUAAGAGAGGCGGCAACAAGGAUCUUCUCAAAUGCAUCAGGCUCUUACUCGUCGAAUGUGAACUUGGCAGUGGAGAAUGCAUCAUGGACAGAUGAGAAGCAGCUCCAGGACAUGUACCUGAGCCGCAAGUCUUUUGCGUUCGACAGUGAUGCUCCAGGGGUAGGCAUGCUAGAGAAACGCAAGACGUUUGAGCUUGCUCUAGCAACAGCAGAUGCCACAUUCCAAAACCUGGACUCGUCGGAGAUCUCACUGACGGAUGUCAGCCACUACUUCGACUCAGACCCGACGAAGCUGGUGCAAGGGCUGCGGAAGGAUGGGCGGGCACCUUCAUCGUACAUAGCAGACACAACCACGGCAAAUGCACAGGUGCGGACAUUGUCGGAGACGGUGCGUCUUGAUGCAAGGACAAAGCUACUGAACCCUAGGUGGUACGAGGGGAUGAUGAAGAGUGGCUAUGAGGGAGUUAGAGAGAUCGAGAAGCGGCUGACAAAUACUGUUGGAUGGAGUGCAACAUCCGGGCAGGUGGACAACUGGGUUUACGAGGAAGCAAAUACCACAUUCAUUGAAGAUGAAGAGAUGAGGAAGAGGCUGAUGGACACCAACCCCAAUUCGUUCAGGAAACUGCUUCAAACCUUCCUAGAAGCAAAUGGCAGGGGCUACUGGGAGACAUCAGAGGAUAACUUGGAAAGGCUCAGGGAGCUCUACUCGGAGGUUGAAGACAAGAUCGAAGGAAUUGACCGGUGA
rnacentral:rRNA from 1 species